UACGGAGGGGGCUAGCGUUGUUCGGAAUUAUUGGGCGUAAAGAGCUCGUAGGCGGUCUGUUGCGUCGGCUGUGAAAACCCGGGGCUCAACCCCGGGCCUGCAGCCGAUACGGGCAGACUAGAGUUCGGCAGGGGAGACUGGAAUUCCUGGUGUAGCGGUGAAAUGCGCAGAUAUCAGGAGGAACACCGGUGGCGAAGGCGGGUCUCUGGGCCGAUACUGACGCUGAGGAGCGAAAGCGUGGGGAGCGAACAGG
rnacentral:rRNA from 1 species